rnacentral:rRNA from 1 species
UGGGGAAUAUUGGACAAUGGGCGCAAGCCUGAUCCAGCAAUGCCGCGUGUGUGAAGAAGGCCUGCGGGUUGUAAAGCACUUUUCUGAGAGAAGAAGGCACCGAGGUUAAGAGCCGGGGUGCUUGACGGUAUCUCAGGAAUAAGCACCGGCUAACUCCGUGCCAGCAGCCGCGGUAAUACGGAGGGUGCGAGCGUUAAUCGGAAUUACUGGGCGUAAAGGGUACGUAGGCGGUCUUUUGAGUCGGAUGUGAAAGCCCUGGGCUCAACCUGGGAAUGGCAUUCGAUACUGGGAGGCUAGAGUUUGGCAGAGGCUGACGGAAUUCCUGGUGUAGCGGUGAAAUGCGUAGAUAUCAGGAGGAACAUCAGUGGCGAAGGCGGUCAGCUGGGCCAAAACUGACGCUGAGGUACGAAAGCGUGGGGAGCAAACAGGAUUAGAUACCCCCGUAGUCC